rnacentral:lncRNA from 1 species
ACACGUUACAUCGUUUACAGAGUAAGCUCCUUCAGUGCUGGCUGAUGGGUCUCCACUAGUAUGAUAACUUCUCUUAACCAAAAAUCCAGGUUGCCUUGGUGAAGGAGCUGCUGCAUUAUUUCCCAGCAUGGACACAACCCCUGACAUUGUCGGACGAUUAGUCGCGUGCUCCUGCACGCACAAGAGUGCGAUUUGAAUGCAUCUUACAACUUCAUCGACAGGGUACGAUUCGCCCAAAGUUGAGUCAAUGAUUUCCGAGGCUCUACCUUCUUUCCACAAGUGCCAGACCUGAACGUACACAGCUUACAAAUUAAUCAAGUUUGGGGAAUAAGUAGAGAGUAGUUAGGCCUGCAAAUAGCUAGACUUGUAUGCUUGCUUACAUGUCCAACCAAAUUUGAGUCUGGAUUGUCAUGGUAGUAACGGGUGUUCUUUCUGCCACUGACGAUUUCUAGCAAUAAAACGCCGAAGCUAUAUACAUCACUCUUUACCGAAAACAGUCCUUGCAUUGCAUACUCUGGUGACAUAUAACCACUGCAGCAAAAACGCAACAUAGUUUUGUACUCCUUCAGUUUGUGGCAUUGUGACAUAAGGUUGACAUUAUAACAAAUAGGGGGUACUGGAAAUUGGUAAGAUAUCUUUCAUUGUGAAGGAAACUUACUAUGUCCCAACCACACGAUUUGUAUUUGCUUCGAUUUGUUCUGCUCCAAAUAUUCUAGCCAUGCCAAAAUCUGAAAUCUUAGGAUUCAUAGCAGAAUCCAGUAGAACAUUGCUGGCCUUUAGAUCUCUAUGGAUGAUUCUUAAUCUCGAAUCGUGAUGAAGGUAUAAGAUCCCUCUGGCAAUCCCAUAGAUAAUCUCAAAGCGUUUUGGCCAAUCUAAAAAUGCCCUUUUUGCUUCAUCUGAUAAAAAGUCAGAAAUUAGACAACAUUCAUGCCUGAUUCAAGUUUUAAAGAGGCAAUGAAAGAUGUAGUAGCAAAAAGAAGACGUACUGAAAAUGAAAGAGUCCAGACUUUUGUUAGGCAAGUAUUCAUAGAUUAGCAUCUUCUCUUCAUCUUGAACGCAGCAACCUAAAAUCCUGACAAGGUUCCGGUGCUGGAGUUUUGCAAUAAGGACAACUUCAUUCUUAAACUCUUCAAUUCCUUGGCCUGAAUUCUUGGCUAGUCUUUUCACUGCUAUUUCCUUCCCAUUGUAAAGCACACCCUGAUCGCAUCAUAAUCCAAAUUUAACUCAUUGUGCAGAUAUCCUGUCCCUCAAAAUGCACUUGCAUUGUACAUUCAAUCGAUGCAUGCACAUACAUCAUGUGAGGAAAAAUAAAAAUACCUUAUAGACAGAGCCGAAACCGCCUUUUCCAAGCUUGUUAUUGGAAGAGAAAUUGUUUGUUGCUGCAGCUAUGGUACGCAGUUCAAAGAUUGGUAAGUCUGAGUUUAUUCUGCUUUCCCCAAGAUCUGUUCUAACAGGAGAAUCUUCCAAGUAGGUUGAUCCUCUGGUCAGACUGAAGGAAAGUUUAUCUUGUCUUCGCUUACCUGCCAUCACAUACAGAAACAGAUAAUCUUAACAUAGUGUGUGAAGCUCCAAUCAUUUCCAAAAAUGAAAAUAAAGACCCCAAGAAUUUCAGACAAUCUGAAUGCAGCAUGUUAAGUUGAUUAUAGCUUUUUCUUAUUAACAAACAAUAAUUAGAAUUAGUGAAAGUAAAUUAGUUUACCUUUUCUCUUCCUCUUUGCCAACCAAAACACAAUGCAGAACAAGAGAAAGAACACUAGACCAGAUGCUAGUGAAGCUGCCAGCUUCUCCUUAUGGCCAAGAGAACCAUUUGACUUCAUUGCAUAUUGUGCUGCAGGGAUACGAAAGGACCAAUGAGAGAAAAUUUGAAAUUAAAAUAAAACCCAAUUAACUUAAGAUUAGGAACUCAAUUUUUGGUGUUUAUGGAAAAUCCCAAAAAUUCUAUAGAAAUUUAGCAUUAGUUUUUAUUUUUGUUUUUGCACAAGCGAUAUUAAAAGAGGGGGGAUUUGAAAUGAGAACUUUGAGUGCGGGAGUAAUUAUUCAGUAAUUACUCUUAACCACUUGAACUACAAACUCAUUGAGAAAUUUGGUACUUAUCUGUUGAACAGAGAAUGAAGAUAAGUUGAUGAAGGAAGCAUACCUAAAAUAGUUGCAUUAACUCGAACGUAUAAAUCUUGACCCAAAUUCGAAUAAGUCCUCAUGUCGACCAAGUCCCCAUGCCAUGUCACGCACCCGAUCCCUCCCUUUCUUUCAUCUGCACUUGAGUACGCCAUGCAAGAACAAUUCCUCAAGCACUCUGCUUUGCAUGCUUCCAGACCCAUACUCAAGUUCACACGUGCUGCCGAUGAGUCAGGCGGCUUUACACGUGGCACCUUCACGAACCCUUCCCCAUUUCGACAAAGGGACGCUCUUUUUGUACUCACGCACCCACCCGACCCGUCUCGCAAAUACCAUUCGUGGAGCAGCUUGGGUUCGAAACCGGGUAGGCACGUGCACUCGAACUUAUCCACAUUGUACGGGUCACAAUUGCUGUUUGCACCGCACCUUCCAUAUUCGUCACACCGCUCUUCCGGGGCCGACCAAAACUUGACCCACUGGUGUACCUGAUUAUACCACGUGGACCGUUCAACGAUUCCUGAUUCAUCAAGUACCAGCCGCGAGAAAAUUGAUUCAUCUGUGAUAGUAAACACAAUAGAUAUCUCAUCUUGAUUGUUCACAAAAGUGACGUUGAAUAUGAAAUUAUUUGUCAUUUCGGGCACACCGCUCCAUCUCUCCUUGAUCCAUGCCCUGCCCCGCCAGCGCGGGGCUUGACCCUUGUAUACAAACAGCUGCGGAAACCCACUCGGGUCAAUCCCAUACGAACAGGUACCAGUUCCCGGAUCAUCUUUGGACUUCCAGGAUGUGAGAAACCGGUUCAGCUUGGACCGCCGGUCCAGCCCAAGUUUCAUAAAUGGGAGCAUUGUGUUAGAGGGAUAAUCAAAGCCUUGCCAGAGAGGACUUAGGCUACCGUUUUCAAGCAAAACAAGGUUCCCUGUAUCCAAGAGCUUGGCUGUGGAGUUGUUUGGUGAAGAGACUGUGACAUUAGCGGACCAAAGAGGGCUGCUUUGGUUCUUCCCGUAGAUGACAAGGCCGCCAUGGCUGUUAAUGACUAGGAGGCCAGAGGUAUCAGUGACAGGAUUGUCUCUGUUUGCAACCCAGACAAUGGUUUGCUCUGGAACUUUGUUGUACCAAACUCCAACAUAGCGUUUCUGAGAAUUGCCAGAACUGAAGAACCCAAGUGCAAAUAUUUUCUUGCUAGACACCAAAACGUCGCCGUCUCUGAGGGGUUGGUUUGGCGCAAUGGUGUCAAGGGAAAAAAUGCAAGAAGGGAGAGGAACAAGGAAGAUAAGCAAUAUAGGGGUGAUCAUGUCCAUGGUUGGUUCUCUCAAUGAUGAUUUUGAUUGCAAUGGGAAAUAAAGAUGAGUUUUUUAUUUUUCUUUUAAAUUUUUUUAUUUAAUAAGGCAGAAAUUGAUACGCUAGAGGUAGAGGGUAGCUGAGAUUUUACACACACAGAGGUCCACCUGGGAGUGGUUGUAGAAAGAGAACAUGACAUAGGACACCCAACCAGAAUCUUACGUAGCUGUUUAGUUAUUGUGUGGAGUUUCUCUAAGUGUUGAAAGGUGAUGAACUUCAAAGUUGACUUUAUUUAUCAGAUUGGGUUCUUAUGUCCAAGUUUGUAGCGUAUACGAAGGAAAAUCUUGCUCACAGAUUGAACUUGAGACUUUUCAAGUCUUUAUGUUGAGCAAUUGAUCAAUGGUCGAAAAUAUAUCGUGAGACCAAUAAUUCUAACUUGCCCCACACGUCAACUGAUAAGAAAAUUGAAAAUUGUUGUUUUAAACAAACUUUUUUCUAAAUUUUUUUAAUUUUAAAAAUAUGAUACUUUUGCAAGCUUAGGGAGUAGCAUUUGCAUCAACAAACCAAUUUGGGUUGGCCCCUUCAUGUAGCAACAAAUUAUAUUAUGUGGUAAAUAAUCUUUUGCAAGCUGCUGUAGGUACCGUAGCUUAACGGGUAACAUUUUCAAAUCCGGACUGUGCCAAAACCGCCUUUUCCAAGCUUGUUUGCGACAGAGAAAUUGUUGGCGGCUACUGAUAUGGUUGCUAGAUCAAAAAAUGGUAAAUCUGAGUUUAUUCUAGUCUCAUCAACAUCUGCAGUAGAGUCUUCCAAGUAGGUUGACCCUGUGGCAAGUCUAAGUGAAAAUUUAUAGUCUCCUUGUUUAAAUGCAAGUAGGGGUGGGCAUCAAUCCGGCCGAUCCGACCAAACCGGCCGAACCAAACCGUAUUUUUCGGUUUGGUUUGGUUUUGACUUUAAAAAAGUCAACAGUUUUAAAAUCUGAACCAAACCGGAGUAAUUUGGUUCAGCUACAGUUUUAAGUUUUAAAAAACUGUGUUAAUCCGAACCGAACCGUUUAAAUAUUAAUUAAUUAUAUAUAUAUAUAUAUUAAUUUACAUGUGUCAAUGGUUGAGUGGCUACUUAGAAGUGUUAGUGUACACCCAACCGCACUGAAUUGAACUCCAACCCAUCUAUUUUCAGACUCAACGCAUUCCAGAGUUGUCUUCCUUACGCAGCCUCCCUCACUCAACCACUUCAACCCUAGAAAAGCCACCAUUGAUUUGAACCACCACAACCUCCACUGCUUCAAUCAAACCCAUUCUCACAUAGCAAAAAUCUCUUUGGCGUCGCACCUCCAUCGUCAUCGGUGCACAGCCAUUGUCAUCGUCGCACGGCCAGAGUCAUCGUCGCACAGCCAUCGUCAUCCCCGCACAGCAGCGUCAUCGUCGAACACCAGUGUCAUUGUCGCACACCAGCAUCAUCGUCGCACAGUUGAUUGAUGUUCGAGAAGCCCAAGAAGUGUAUGUUCUAAUAUUUAAUUUCUGAUUAUCUACAUAUUUUUCUUUUGAUGGAUGUUCUGAUUUCAAUUUCUUGGAAUGAACUUUUAGUUGUGGGUUUAUCUAUAUAUAUGAUCAUAUUAUAUUGAGAAGUUCAAAUUUGAAAGUUAGCAAUUAACUUCUGAGUCUCAAUUCCAAAUAACACAGCAGCAGAGGAUUUAAUUAAUUACCUUCUACCAUAACCUCUUUCCAUAACAACCACGCCUCCAUUGCCAAAGUUAUUCAGCCUCUCAAAUUGCUCUACUGUCCAUUUGUUCCAUCUCAUGAGAAACAUUCUCAGUGUUAGGCCAUGUGAAAGCCAAUUGAAAAUUUAGAAGCGACCGUAAAGCAUUCGAAUGGCUUUCUCUACUCUCAUAUUCUCCCUGUCCUGAAAAUUCCCUUUUCAUGGAAAAAAUUGCAACAAAGUCUUGUUAAAAGUAGUGUUCCAAUUGUUUUUAGUAAAUUGACACUUACCAAAGUCUUGCUCUCUUAGCCGAGGCUCUUCUGUCUAGGAGGGGGUGCUUUAGUACUAGUAGCUGACUUCCUAUGCAAGUGCUUUUCAGGAAAACUAGCCAACCUCACUUUGUAUUUUGGACAGCUGUUGCUAAUUGAUUCUCAUAUAUUUUGGCAUUUGAAAAUCCUCAUUUCUGUUGUUGUGAUAUCCCACACAACCUUGCAAUUAUGGUAAUUUUCUUAUUCAAUUCUUAUUUUGAUCAUCUUGUAUCCUAAAAUUUGUGUUGAUUCAACUGCUUUUAUGUGCAGUAUGGGGACAUGCUGGAAAACUGGACAGCCUUUAAUUAAAUAGAAAUUAUGAACUUGUAUUUUGGAUAGCCUUUUAUUUCUUAGUUUUAUCAUCUUGUAUUCAUUUCUUAUGAACUUUAGAAUGUUUGUUUUGAUGGAAAUUGUGAACUUAUAUGCAUGCUGGAAACUGGACAGCUUUUGAUUAAAUGAAAAUUAUGAACUUGUAUUUUGGGCAGCCUUUCUUUUCUUAGUUUUAUCAUCUUGUAUUAAUUUCUUAUGAACUUUACUACUUUAGAAUGUUUGUUUUGAUGGAAAUUGUGAACUUAGAUGCAUGCUAGACAUUGGACAACCUUUGAAUAAAUGGAAUGAUGUUGUAUUAGCCUUUGGUGGAAUGGAAUGAUUUAAUGGCAAAAUGUUAGCAUUAUAAUGUAAGAGCAGGUUGAAAAAUGCAUGGUUUUGUGUUAGGCACAAACCGGCCGAACCAAUCCGAACCAAACCGAUUACAAGUGGUUUGGAUUGGUUCGGUUUCCAUUAUGAUUUUAGCCUAAUCCGAACCAAACUGGACCGUUAUUUUCUUAUUGGUUCAGCUGUGAUUUGAGAGUAAAACCGAACCAAUCUGGACCGUGCCCACCCCUACAUGCAAGUAAAUGCAGAACAAGUAAUCUUAUAGCCUUCUAGUCAUGAACAAUGUGAGAACUGAGUAAAAUCUAACUGCCCUAAACUUAUAUGAAUCUUAAAUAAAGCUUGUAGCAAACGACGACGUAUUUGGACAAGAAUACCCUACCAGUCAGCAUGCCAGUGCCACAUAGUAGGAAGACAAUCAUGCAAUCCAAAGAUCUUUUCUUCCUCCCUGCCACGCAAUACCAAAAGAAAACUACAAUAAGGAGCCCUAGAGCAGCCACUACUGCAAUUGCUAUCUUCCCCCUUUUGCUAAGAGAACCAUUCUUUGAAUAUUCACCUAAACUCAAAUAAAAUCCAAUCAGCUUAUGAUUACGCAUCCAACAUUAACCCAAGAGAAAAAAUAGGCCAUCAACAAUUUCGGCAACUAUGGAAUCUGAUUUAUGAUUUUUAUAUUUUAAUUUUUUUUUUUGUAGGAAUUUUUAUUUUAAUUGUUGGAAAUCCUUCGUGCGACUCUGCAUUUAUUAUCAUUAGGCUCCAGAAAGAUUUUUAAAUAAGUUGAUCUUUGAGUAUAAUUAUUAUUAUUAUUUUUUUAACAAACGAAAAAAAAAUUAUGCUAUGAUGAGUAGUUCACGCUUCUAUUGGUAAUAAUUACAAAAAAAAUAAGGGAAAAUGAUACCUAAUGUAAUUGCAUCAACUCGAUCGUAUGUAUGUAUAUAAUCUUGACCCAUAUCCAAAUAUGUCCUUGUGUCCAUCAAAUCUCCAUGCCAUGAUUUCACCCUUCGCAUUCUCAUCCGCACUCGUGUACGCUAUGCAAGAACAUUUCUUCAUGCAUUUCUUUUCACACAUUUUCAAGCUCAAACUCAUAUGUUCGCACGUACAGUGGACGAGUCUGGUAUCUUCACACGCGCCAACUUCACGAACCCUUCCCCGUUUCGACAAGUGGAUGUUCCCUUUUUAUUCAUGCACCCACCCGACCUGUUGGAGUACUUCCACUCAUAGUCCGACUUGGUAAAUUAAGAGAUAAAACAUGAUCUAUGAGUUAAACUACAUUCAAUCAGUCUAAUCACAGUUUAAUUACAAUUACUAAUUAAUAAGCUUCAAGCUAAUAUUGUAGUGCACAUUACUACUUGUACAACAUUUUGCAGCCUAGGCCCAAAGCUGAGUCAUGGUGAAGGAGUAAUUUAACCUGUUGGAGUACUUCCACUCAUGGCCCCCAAGGAGUUAAGGUGAUUUGAAGUGCUUCCAGUCUGAAGACAUACAUUUGUUUUUUAUGCCUAGUCUGGUCAUUUUUUCAGUUAUCUGCUCUGGUGUGUUGGUGGUUCUUUUUAUUGGUUCUUACCAGGGGCAGUGCGUGGGUUAUAAGAAUCAGGCAUGUAAGGGUGAGAUUUUUCAUGAGAUUUGGUCUUUAUAUAUAUUACCCACUUAAAAUCUCACACAAUACACCACUUAAUGAAAUACUUUAAAAUCGAUAAGUUUUUGAAUACCACAAUACUUUUAUUGACUACUUAAAAAUCAUAAUUGAAUACCAACGUACUUUUAUUGAUUAGCGAGCUUCUAUUUCUGUACAUGUUACAUCGUUUACAGAGUAAGCUCCUUCAGUACUGGCUGAUGGGUCUUCACUAGUAUGAUAACUUCUCUUAACCAAAAAUCCAGGUUGCCUUGGUGAAGGAGCUGCUGCAUUAUUUCCCAGCAUGGACACAACCCCUGACAUUGUUGGACGAUUAGUCGCGUGCUCCUGCACGCACAAGAGAGCGAUUUGAAUGCAUCUUACAACUUCGUCGACAGGGUACGAU